UCACCCCUCAAGCCCCGUGCUUGGUGUUGGACGGCCUGGCUGGGCGCACUGCCCGGCCCCUCCUAAAGGCAAUGACGGCGGUCUGUGGAACCCCCGGUACACUGAGCUUCUUUACCGAGCACGUACUGGAUAAAAAGGGCGCCCGGACGACGGUCUAAACCCCCCAUUUCUCAAA
rnacentral:misc_RNA from 1 species